GCCGGCGUAGCUCAGUUGGUAGAGCAACUGAUUCGUAAUCAGUAGGUCGGAGGUUCGAGUCCUCUCGCCGGCACCA
rnacentral:tRNA from 1 species